GAUCAGAAUGCUGCGGUGAAUGCGUUCCCGGGUCUUGUACACACCGCCCGUCACACCACGGGAGUUGGAGACGCCCGAAGCCGAUUAUCUAACCUUUUGGAAGAAGUCGUCGAAGGUGGAAUCAAUAACUGGGGUGAAGUCGUAACAAGGUAGCCGUAUCGGAAGGUGCGGCUGGAUCACCUCCUUUCUAAGGAGA
rnacentral:rRNA from 1 species